rnacentral:rRNA from 1 species
CCUACGGGAGGCAGCAGUGGGGAAUAUUGGGCAAUGGAGGAAACUCUGACCCAGCAACGCCGCGUGAAGGAUGAAGGUUUUCGGAUUGUAAACUUCUGUCGCGAGGGAUGAAGAAUGACGGUACCUGACUAAGAAGCCCCGGCUAACUACGUGCCAGCAGCCGCGGUAAUACGUAGGGGGCAGGCUUUAUCCGGAUUUACUGGGUGUAAAGGGAGCGUAGGCGGCUACGCAAGUCUGAAGUGAAAUGCCAGGGCUCAACACUGGAACUGCUUUGGAAACUGUGUAGCUAGAGAGCAGGAGAGGUAAGUGGAAUUCCUAGUGUAGCGGUGAAAUGCGUAGAUAUUAGGAGGAACACCAGUGGCGAAGGCGGCUUACUGGACUGUAACUGACGUUGAGGCACGAAGGCGUGGGGAGCAAACAGGAUUAGAUACCCGUGUAGUC